ACCGGACAGAUCCCAAGUUCCUCCAGUCCUUAGGAAUACUUCACAGAACAGCAUGGUGACUGUCUAUAUUUUGCAGAGCAUUCUGCAGAGGGAUAGGCUCUCUGGCCUUUUUUGCUACCAUUUUAUACAGCCUCCCGCUGCGAAUGGGACUGCUUUGUCUCAACUGACAGAACCAGCAAGCCAGAAAGUUUGCCACUUCUGAAUGAUUGCCUAUUGCCUCUUCUGUAGUUUUUGGCAUCAGAAAAUGGUUGCAAAGCAUCUUAGAGGCUACAGAUUUUUUAAAUCUUAUAUUUAAUGUUCCCCCAACUACUAUUUCCCUCAAGACAAAGAAUGCCUUGGAUCACCUUUUCAAAAAGCAAAUGUAACCACAAAAAUCUCCAGGAAAACCUGAGUAUUUCCUCAGCUCUUAGAUGUUUUACAUCUGUAGGUUUAAAAAUUCAAAACUCUCAAUUGUAUUCAGUGGAGAA